AGAGUUUGAUCAUGGCUCAGGAUGAACGCUAGCUACAGGCUUAACACAUGCAAGUCGAGGGGCAGCAUGUUGGCUGCUUGCAACCAACGAUGGCGACCGGCGCACGGGUGAGUAACGCGUAUCCAACCUACCCUUGUCCAUCGGAUAACCCGUCGAAAGGCGGCCUAACACGAUAUGCGGUUCACAGCAGGCAUCUAACGUGAACGAAAUGUGAAGGAGAAGGAUGGGGAUGCGUCUGAUUAGCUUGUUGGCGGGGUAACGGCCACAAGGCUACGAUCAGUAGGGGUUCUGAGAGGAAGGUCCCCCANAUUGGAACUGAGACACGGUCCAAACUCCUACGGGAGGCA
rnacentral:rRNA from 1 species